GGCGUUGAUUCCAAUUGAACACAAAAUGAAUUUUAAACGAGUCUUAAAACCGAAUGGUAGAAAUUUAAACACAUUUUUAGAAGCCAAAGUUAUUCUAAUAGCUUGUCUAGUCAAGGAAUUUCAUUUGGAUAUCUAUUAAAUAAUCAUUUUGAUUUGCCGAGUGACGCUUGGUUGAGAUUACCCAUUGUCUCCCUGAUGAUCAAUAGUCUGUUGAGAAAUUCAAUCAAUCAUUAGAUCCUUUUAUAAAUCGCAU